rnacentral:tRNA from 1 species
UCUAAUAUGACAGAGAAAUGUGAUAAACUUAAGAUUUAUAAAUAAAUAUAUAUAUUUUGUUAGAA